AUACAGAGGGUGCAAGCGUUAAUCGGAUUUACUGGGCGUAAAGCGCGCGUAGGGGGCUAAUUAAGUCAAAUGUGAAAUCCCCGAGCUUAACUUGGGAAUUGCAUUCGAUACUGGUUAGCUAGAGUAUGGGAGAGGAUGGUAGAAUUCCCGGAGUAGCGGGGAAAGGGGUAGAACUCUGGAGGAAUACCGAGGGGGAAGGAGGCCAUCUGGCUAAAUACUGCGACUGAGGUCGGAAAGCUUGGGAGGAAACCAGGUUAAGUUCCCCUGUAAGUCCAUGCCGUAACCGAUGCCUACUAGCCGUUGGGGCCCAUGAGGCUUUAGUGGCGCAGCUAACGCGAUAAGUAGGCCGCCUGGGGAGUACGGUCGCAAGACUAAAACUCAAAUGAAUUGGCGGGG
rnacentral:rRNA from 1 species